rnacentral:rRNA from 1 species
AGAGUUUGAUCCUGGCUCAGGACGAACGCUGGCGGCGUGCCUAAUACAUGCAAGUCGAGCGAUGAUUAGAGAUAGCUUGCUAUCUUUAUGAAGAGCGGCGAACGGGUGAGUAACGCGUGGGAAAUCUGCCGAGUAGCGGGGGACAACGUUUGGAAACGAACGCUAAUACCGCAUAACAAUGAGGAUCGCAUGAUUCUUAUUUAAAAGAAGCAAUUGCUUCACUACUUGAUGAUCCCGCGUUGUAUCAGCUAGUUGGUAGUGUAAAGGACUACCAAGGCGAUGAUACAUAGCCGACCUGAGAGGGUGAUCGGCCACACUGGGACUGAGACACGGCCCAGACUCCUACGGGAGGCAGCAGUAGGGAAUCUUCGGCAAUGGGGGCAACCCUGACCGAGCAACGCCGCGUGAGUGAAGAAGGUCUUCGGAUCGUAAAACUCUGUUGUUAGAGAAGAACGUUAAGUAGAGUGGAAAGUUACUUAAGUGACGGUAUCUAACCAGAAAGGGACGGCUAACUACGUGCCAGCAGCCGCGGUAAUACGUAGGUCCCAAGCGUUGUCCGGAUUUAUUGGGCGUAAAGCGAGCGCAGGUGGUUUCUUAAGUCUGAUGUAAAAGGCAGUGGCUCAACCAUUGUGUGCAUUGGAAACUGGGAGACUUGAGUGCAGAGAGGAGAGUGGAAAUUCCAUGUGUAGCGGUGAAAUGCGUAGAUAUAUGGGAGGAACACCGGGAGGCGAAAGCGGCUCUCUGGGCCUGUAACUGACACUGAGCUUCGAAAGCGUGGGGGAGCAAACAGAUUAGAUACCCUUGUAGUCUACGCGUAACCGAUGAGUGCUAGCUGUAGCAGCUAUAGUCUCUGUAGCGCAGCUUACGCAUAAGUCCUCGACUUGGGGAGUACGACGCAAGAUGGAACUUCAAGGAAUUGGA